UACGUAGGGGGCGAGCGUUGUCCGGAUUCAUUGGGCGUAAAGAGCUCGUAGGCGGCUUGGUUAGUUGGGUGUGAAACCUCCAGCUUAACCUGGAGACGCACUCAAUACUGCCAUGGCUAGAGUCCGGUAGGGGACCACGGAAUUCCUGGUGUAGCGGUGAAAUGCGCAGAUAUCAGGAGGAACACCGGUGGCGAAGGCGGUGGUCUGGGCCGGCACUGACGCUGAGGCGCGAAAGCGUGGGGAGCAAACAGG
rnacentral:rRNA from 1 species